ACGUUAGCUGCAGAAGAAGCACCGGCUAACUCCGUGCCAGCAGCCGCGGUAAUACGGAGGGUGCGAGCGUUAAUCGGAAUUACUGGGCGUAAAAGCGCAUGCAGGUGGUUUGUUAAGUCAGAUGUGAAAGCCCGGGGCUCAACCUCGGAAUUGCAUUUGAAACUGGCAAACUAGAGUACUGUAGAGGGGGUAGAAUUUCAGGUGUAGCGGUGAAAAUGCGUAGAGAUCUGAAGGAAUACCGGUGGCGAAGGCGGCCCCCUGGACAGAUACUGACACUCAGAUGCGAAAGCGUGGGGAGCAAACAGGAUUAGAUACCCUGGUAG
rnacentral:rRNA from 1 species